UACGGAGGGAGCUAGCGUUGUUCGGAAUUACUGGGCGUAAAGCGCGCGUAGGCGGUUUUGUAAGUUAGAGGUGAAAGCCCGGAGCUCAACUCCGGAACUGCCUUUAAAACUGCAUCGCUUGAAUCCAGGAGAGGUGAGUGGAAUUCCGAGUGUAGAGGUGAAAUUCGUAGAUAUUCGGAAGAACACCAGUGGCGAAGGCGGCUCACUGGACUGGUAUUGACGCUGAGGUGCGAAAGCGUGGGGAGCAAACAGG
rnacentral:rRNA from 1 species